GACGAACGCUGGCGGCGUGCUUAACACAUGCAAGUCGAACGGAAAGGCCCUGCUUUUGUGGGGUGCUCGAGUGGCGAACGGGUGAGUAACACGUGAGUAACCUGCCCUUGACUUUGGGAUAACUUCAGGAAACUGGGGCUAAUACCGGAUAGGAGCUCCUGCUGCAUGGUGGGGGUUGGAAAGUUUCGGCGGUUGGGGAUGGACUCGCGGCUUAUCAGCUUGUCGGUGGGGUAGUGGCUUACCAAGGCUUUGACGGGUAGCCGGCCUGAGAGGGUGACCGGCCACAUUGGGACUGAGAUACGGCCCAGACUCCUACGGGAGGCAGCAGUGGGGAAUAUUGCACAAUGGGCGGAAGCCUGAUGCGGCAACGCCGCGUGCGGGAUGACGGCCUUCGGGUUGUAAACCGCUUUCGCCUGUGACGAAGCGUGAGUGACGGUAAUGGGUAAAGAAGCACCGGCUAACUACGUG
rnacentral:rRNA from 1 species